AUUUACAAUUUAAUAUUAUUCUGUAAUAACUUUUAUCAAUCAUUCAUAAUGUAAAGUCGCUUGAUCAAUCAUCUAUCAAGUUGAAUAAAAGAUGGAGCUGAAAUCACUUUUAUUGAUAACCAAUCAUAUUGGUUUGGGUUAAAGUCAAGUUACUUCUGUUUAUUUUGGUUAAUUCAUUGUGAAAAUGAUUGAGGAAAUUAAACCUUUAACUGUCGAUGAUUAAUUUUAUAAUUUAAUUUCCAAGCUUGUCCAAGCUAAAUGGUAUCUCUUAAUUUAAUAGACAAUCCAUCAUUAAUAAUUGUCAUUCAAUACUGGCAACAACCAGAUAUUUGGUUUCGUCUGCUUUUUUUGGGUUCAUUUGGUUUUUUGGAGCGCGCCAACUUUAAUUGAAUAUGUUGCCAGUUUUUAUUAAUUUUGUAACUAUUAUUAUGGAAACUCGCAUCAUGUUUAUCAUUCAGUCCAAACGAUACAUCUUAAUGGCUCUGUGUUCGUGAUAAUCAUUAGGAUAGUCUGGAACUCAUAGAUGGCUAUUAAUAACCAUGGUCACUACGUGUUGCUAUUACAGACUCAGAUCUUUGUUUCCAUACUUGAGAGUUAUAACUUGACAAAUUAGGAUUCAUCGAUGGUAAACUUGAGAUUAACUCUGUAGACUGGUUUUGGGAAAAAUCAAUGUUUCAUGGGAACAGAUCGAUUACUAAAGUUUCAUCAUUGGCAAAAGUAAGCUGUUGACUUGAAAUUUUGUGUUUACUUGAUAUUCAACUGAAUUUUUCUAUCAAAAGUUAUUCAACCGAUUACAACAUUUCUGUGUAAUUUUCAUGAGAAACUAGACUUUAUUUGGAAACAAUACAUUCCUGUUUAACAUAAUUUUUCAUUUCCCCUCACCGUCAAGGAAAACUGUUCAAAAUAAUCUCCAGCUAAUGAAGAGAGUCUCUCUCUUUCUUUGCUUCUGAUUCCUACUCAAAAGCCAUCUGAUUAUUCAACUUUGUUUUCACAUUUAAUUCUAAUGUGAUUGAUGAAACUAUGACUUUUAAAAGUCAUUCAAUCGCAUUAGCCAUUGAUAUUGACUAGUUUGGGCUUCAAGUCAUCUAUUCAUCUUAAUGGAUUGUAGGCUCAUAAUCAACACUCAACGAAUUAUUAAAGAAAUGCGUUUUAAAUUGAAAAGUCGAAUGGAAAAAUGGAAAUGCAGCAAAUUUGAAUCAAACUUGAAGCAAAUUCAUUAAUUAUUUGACUUUUGCUCGUUUCCAUUUGAAUGCCAUUGAGUUCAACAUAAAUUCUUGGUUUAUCCCGACCUUAAUUUUAUCGCAAAGAAUAUUAAGCCAAUGGUAUGUUAAUCUAGUUAAUCAUUAAAUGAAAAGACAAUUAA